rnacentral:rRNA from 1 species
UGGGGAAUAUUGGACAAUGGGCGAAAGCCUGAUCCAGCCAUGCCGCGUGUGUGAAGAAGGUCUUCGGAUUGUAAAGCACUUUAAGUUGGGAGGAAGGGCAGUAAGCGAAUACCUUGCUGUUUUGACGUUACCGACAGAAUAAGCACCGGCUAACUCUGUGCCAGCAGCCGCGGUAAUACAGAGGGUGCAAGCGUUAAUCGGAAUUACUGGGCGUAAAGCGCGCGUAGGUGGUUCGUUAAGUUGAAUGUGAAAGCCCCGGGCUCAACCUGGGAACUGCAUCCAAAUCUGGCGAGCUAGAGUAUGGCAGAGGGUGGUGUAAUUUCCUGUGUAGCGGUGAAAUGCGUAGAUAUAGGAAGGAACACCAGUGGCUAAGGCGACCACCUGGGCUCAUACUGACACUGAGGUGCGAAAGCGUGGGGAGCAAACAGG